rnacentral:lncRNA from 1 species
GGGUUGUUAUAUUCUCCCCCACUUAAACAUACAUUCGUCCUCGAACAUGCCAAGAGUCGUUCCAAAGCCAUUAAUUCACUGUGUUACCUUGCCAUACACAUACCCGGGGGUGAUCACAUGCCACCCCUAUGAGUAUAUGUUCGUCAACUCAACCUAGCCGAAAACUCGUCCUUCAACCUAAGCCUAAGACCUUGGAACCCAAUUUCUAACAUAUGAAAUUCCUUACAAGACCCGAAACUUGCAUCUAAACAUUGUGUAAGUCUGAACAAGUUGUAUCAAGCAAUAACCAUAACCCAAGAUGUAAUCACAUGAUAUACCCAUAACUCACAUUCUCGUAGCAACAACUUCUGAUCCCAUAGCUGCUCAAAAACAAUCCCGGUACCGGUAACAAACCUCAUAUAUAUUAAAACCCUGUUCUAAACCUUCGUACACUGCGAGUAAUGAAUGAAACACGCAAAAACUCAUAACCACUUAUCAACUAGACAAGUCAUGAAUCUCUUCCUCGUUCGAAAAGAAACAUAGCCAACUUCUAAGUCGAUCAGUGACAUUAUCCUUCCAAAUAUACUGUAAUCAAAUCCGAUAACACCCAUUCUAGGUCCAAUGACCUCAUCUCAUCAAAUAUGUCCACUAUACCAACAUGCCACACCAAUACAACCUCAAGCCACAAACUGUGUAAUCCGUGCACCAAUAAGCAACAAUUCCAAUGCACCUAAAAAUGAAAAAAAACUCAAAUAAAAUAACCGUCCUACAUAUUCAACUUGUACCACAACAAACGCAAUGCUAAGAACCCAUUGCACAUAAUAUAACCAAUACACAAGGAUCUAAUGCAUCGUGUGUGCAAUUAACCAAUAUAUCACAACCAAUCGUAACAUUGAAGAGUAACACAUAGAACACAUUAGAACACGAACAAGCUCAGAUCUAACAUAAUGACAUACCUUUCAACACUAUAGUUCCGAGUCAACAAAUCUAAUCCAGUGUAGAAU